AAGAUCAUACUGUUAGGGAUCAUUUCUAAAGUAUGCAUCGCUUGGACGUCAGUCAAUUUUGACUGGAUCGUAAACCAUGAGGAUGAUACAAAUCCUCCCCUUCUGAGCGUGAAGCGGGUUUUGUGACUCUAUCAGAUCAGAUGGAGUUCUUAACCAUUGAUGACCGUUCCUCUCCUCCUUUAGUGGGGAGAUGGAGGUAGGGGAGGCAUUCAGAGUGGU
rfam:Lottia gigantea unplaced genomic scaffold LOTGIsca_32, whole genome shotgun sequence.